rnacentral:rRNA from 1 species
UCAUUGCCUUUGUCGGCUCAAGGCGCUAUAUAAGACAGACUUGGAAUACCUUGCGCUUCAACCUGGGAACUGCAUUCUGACUGUAUAGCUAGAGUACUGUAGAGGAGGAUGGAAAUACUGCCGUGUAAGCAAGUGCAAAUGCGUAGAUAUGCGGAGGGAGACAACGAUGGGGCGAAGGCAAAUACUCUCUCGGGACCUGUACUGACGCUCAUGCACGAAAAGCAGUGGGGAGCGAAAACAAGGAAUUAGAAUACCCUGGUAGUUCCACGCCCCUCAAAAACGAAUGUCAACUGGUUGUUGGGUCUUCACUUGACUCCAGUUAACGAAGCUAAACGCGUGAAAGUUGACCGCCCUGGGGGAGUACGGCCCCCAAAGGUUGAAACUCAAAAGAGAAUUGACGGGGGACCCGGCCCCCAGGCGGGGGGGUGAUGUGGUUUAAUUUGAUGCAACGGGGAAAAAACCUUUCCCCCCCCCUUUGACAUGUACGGAAUCCUUUAGAGAUAGAGGAGUGCUCGAAAGAGAACCGUAAAAACAGGUGCUGCAUGGCUGUCGUCAGCUCGUGUCGUGAGAUGUUGGGUUAAGUCCCGCAACGAGCGCAACCCCUGUCAUUAGUUGCUACAUUUAGUUGGGCACUCUAAAUGAGACUGCCGGUGACAAACCGGAGGAAGGUGGGGAUGACGUCAAGUCCUCAUGGCCCUUAUAGGUGGGGGUACACACGUCAUACAUGGCUGGUACAAGGGUUGCCACCCGCAGGAGAGGCAUCUCUAGGACAUCGUAUUCCGGAUCGCGUCUGCACUCGACUGCGUAAUCGUAUCGCUAGUAAUCGCGGAUCAAAUGUCGCGGUAAUAAUUCCCGGGUCUUGUCGCCAACCCCGUCCCCCCUCCAGCGGUUUGCCUGAAUAAUACCUGACCGUUAGAAAGCGCUUCCCCCCAGACUCCGUACUGAUAAUCGUAACUAAUACCCCAAACUUUUCGCUCUGGUUAUUCAUACUGUCAGGUCGUCGA